rnacentral:rRNA from 1 species
UACGUAGGGUGCAAGCGUUGUCCGGAAUUAUUGGGCGUAAAGAGCUCGUAGGCGGUCUGUCGCGUCUGCUGUGAAAACUCAGGGCUUAACCCUGAGCUUGCAGUGGGUACGGGCAGACUAGAGUGCGGUAGGGGAGACUGGAAUUCCUGGUGUAGCGGUGGAAAUGCGCAGAUAUCAGGAGGAACACCGGUGGCGAAGGCGGGUCUCUGGGCCGUAACUGACGCUGGAGGAGCGAAAGCAUGGGGAGCGAACAGG